GUAGAGAUGUGGAGGAACACCGAUGGCGAAGGCAGCCCCCUGGGAUGACACUGACGCUCAUGUACGAAAGCGUGGGUAGCAAACAGGAUUAGAUACCCUGGUAGUCCACGCCCUAAACGAUGUCAACUGGUUGUUGGGGGAGUGAAAUCCCUUAGUAACGAAGCUAACGCGUGAAGUUGACCGCCUGGGGAGUACGGUCGCAAGAUUAAAACUCAAAGGAAUUGACGGGGACCCGCACAAGCGGUGGAUGAUGUGGAUUAAUUCGAUGCAACGCGAAAAACCUUACCUACCCUUGACAUGUCCGGAAUCCUGCAGAGAUGCGGGAGUGCCCGAAAGGGAAUCGGAACACAGGUGCUGCAUGGCUGUCGUCAGCUCGUGUCGUGAGAUGUUGGGUUAAGUCCCGCAACGAGCGCAACCCUUAUCAUUAGUUGCUACGCAAGGGCACUCUAAUGAGACUGCCGGUGACAAACCGGAGGAAGGUGGGGAUGACGUCAAGUCCUCAUGGCCCUUAUGGGUAGGGCUUCACACGUCAUACAAUGGUCGGUACAGAGGGUUGCCAAGCCGCGAGGUGGAGCCAAUCCCAGAAAGCCGAUCGUAGUCCGGAUUGUUCUCUGCAACUCGAGAGCAUGAAGUCGGAAUCGCUAGUAAUCGCGGAUCAGCAUGUCGCGGUGAAUACGUUCCCGGGUCUUGUACACACCGCCCGUCGCACCAUGGGAGUGGAAUCUGCCAGAAGUAGGUAGCCUAACCGCAAGG
rnacentral:rRNA from 1 species